CCCGGCUCCGCUCCGCCGUCUGCGGCUCGCCAGCUGACAAAUAAAAAUAUGAUUACAGAAAAUGCCCCGUGGCAAGCCUUAUUAUGGCUUCAGAGAUAACAGAUAAUGCCAAUUACUGCGCGGGGCAGUGGUGACAUUGAGAGGAAAUCCCCUGCGGCAGGAGCUGCGGGGCACUGCCAGUGAGGGAAGCAGGCUUUUAAGGAGAAAUCUGGGGUGUCUCUGAGAAACUGAGCUGAAGAAUGACAGCUGCCAUGUUCUGCCAUGUAGUGCCACCCUCCUCAGAAUUCCUGCUCUGCCCUGCUCCGUUUACAAGGAGUGUGCAGGGAGGGUCUGUCAAAUGCUGAAGAUUGAGGAGGAUGGACGCUUUGAAAUCGUGACUCAAGGCCUCCAGAUGUGAAACUGAUCUAGAAAUGGUGGAAUUUAAUAAGAUUGUUUUCUGGUUUGGGUGGUUUUUGUUUGUUUGUUUUUUGGGUUUUUUUUUGGUUUUUUGUUUCUGGUACUUGGGUGUUCAAGUUUUCUUUCAGACCAUCAGAAGUAAGAAAGGUGUAUUUUUACCCCAUUGAAAGCUCACCAUUCUUUAUCUGAAUGCAGGUGUUUCAGUUCUGUGCUCAAGACUCACUGUAAAACGGUGAGGAGUUUUCAGAUAUCCCUUGUACAGAGAACCAGAGAAAAGCCGUCAAAUGCAGCAGCUGCAGUGCCAAAGGCAAAGUUACCAGCUCAGCUAAAGUCAGGGAACAUGUAUUUUUGUAAGUUUUCUUCUUUAAGUAAGCCACUGGAAACUCAAAAAGGGCAUAGUCUUACUGUAAGCAUAACCAGGUAACAUUUUCUGGGAAGUGCAGCAGUGGUGAUCAGACCUGACAGGCUGUUCUGGCUUUGAAAUACAUGAAUAUAUGCUUUGGGGAGAGGUUGGCAGGGAGAAACAAUAUAUUUUAGUGGAUCAAUGGAAAUAAUUGUUUAAAAGCAAGCAAUGUUUUAUGCAUACAAACCCUUUCCCAGGCCUCCUGGUAUGUUUAUAGGUGUUGUCCUUUUUCCUCGUUAUAAUUAUAUUUACUUGUUCUGCAGAAUUGUGUGAAAACUUACUAAAUUUGAGCAUAGCAACCAUGGCUAUAAACCAAGAAUCUUCUGUAGGUAGAUGCAACUUACAUGUUUGGAUCUUAUUUGCAGAAACAAGAGAAAAUAAGAUCAAAGGUAUUUUUUGCUCAUGAAGUUUAAAAUAAUGCUUCUCAUGCUAUUAAUUGUUACUGAUAAGUUAUUUGCAUCACAUCAGGCACUUUAAGAGGCAUACUGCAGAACAAUUAUUCUGUGGCCUGGCCCUUCUGGGAGUUUGAGGUCAGUAAGAAAAGCAUUUGCAAAGUAGCCAACAGUUUGAUUAGUACAAAUGACCUGCAACUACUCCAAUUAAGAGGUUUCUCAGGUUAGAGAUCUGCGACCUGCAAUGAGUUGUCAUAGAAACUGAUACGAACGUUUCAGCUCAAACAUCACUUUAAAAUAAUGGCUUCGUUUGUCAUCUCAUGCCAGGUGGCAGCUCCUUUGAAUCCAAGAUCUAGAGUCUGUCCCUACACCAGAAUUCUUCUGGCAGCCCUGGGUGACAGGCAGAGCGUGUUUCUUCUGCAGUUGCUGCAGUACAGGUACAGGGAUAUUCUCAGAGCAGGAGGAUGGACUGGAAAAGCACUGGAGCGAACUAAAGGAACUGUCUGAACAGCAUCUCUGGCUUCUGACUAGCAAGCAAGCGUGGCCACUGUGGAAGUGGGAAGCUGGAACAUGUUCCUGCCUAUCUGUGCCUUUCAUUUUCCAUGCACCAUCUCCAAGAGCGAUGCCCAUUUCCAUGGAACAAUUUUUUCAGAGCUCUCUCUGCAUCCAUCUUAUGCUGCAAGGAAAUUGUAAAGCCUUUGUUGUAACUUGUGAAAGAGGGAUGUUGCAGAGAGUCUGACAGUGUGUGCUUCCCCUGCCAUAGCUUGCUCCUUUCACUCACGUGUUCUCCCUUCAGAAGCCCACUGGAUGCUGUCUCCAGAGGCUGACUUCUUGUGCUGCUGUCUUGGUUGAGGAGCUCUGGGAGUCCAUGGCCACUAUGGGUCAGGGUCACACUGACUUCUUCUGCAGUCCUGCAUUUCUCUUUCUCAUUCCUUCUCAGCUUAUGCAGGGCUCAGUUAGAGGGUUUGCCGUGUUUGUCAGAAAAAAAGCUGCUUUCUUCUCUUCUGGUUUUCCAGCCAUGUGAUAAAGCCCCUACAGCUUUAGAGCCUUUAGAACAAGGAAAGGGUAAUGAGUCCUCUGUUCACCUGCAGAGAGAGGAGUUGAUGCAGUCGUGUAAGACAUGGAGAGCCAGAGAGAUCAGCUGGAAUGGAACCAGAUUAAAUGCAUUUACUCUGCACUGUUCCAUUAAUGCCAAGUAAU